rnacentral:rRNA from 1 species
GAUGAACGCUGGCGGCGUGCCUAAUACAUGCAAGUCGAGCGAACGGACGAGAAGCUUGCUUCUCUGAUGUUAGCGGCGGACGGGUGAGUAACACGUGGAUAACCUACCUAUAAGACUGGGAUAACUUCGGGAAACCGGAGCUAAUACCGGAUAAUAUUUUGAACCGCAUGGUUCAAAAGUGAAAGACGGUCUUGCUGUCACUUAUAGAUGGAUCCGCGCUGCAUUAGCUAGUUGGUAAGGUAACGGCUUACCAAGGCAACGAUGCAUAGCCGACCUGAGAGGGUGAUCGGCCACACUGGAACUGAGACACGGUCCAGACUCCUACGGGAGGCAGCAGUAGGGAAUCUUCCGCAAUGGGCGAAAGCCUGACGGAGCAACGCCGCGUGAGUGAUGAAGGUCUUCGGAUCGUAAAACUCUGUUAUUAGGGAAGAACAUAUGUGUAAGUAACUGUGCACAUCUUGACGGUACCUAAUCAGAAAGCCACGGCUAACUACGUGCCAGCAGCCGCGGUAAUACGUAGGUGGCAAGCGUUAUCCGGAAUUAUUGAGCGUAAAGCGCGCGUAGGCGGUUUUUUAAGUCUGAUGUGAAAGCCCACGGCUCAACCGUGGAGGGUCAUUGGAAACUGGAAAACUUGAGUGCAGAAGAGGAAAGUGGAAUUCCAUGUGUAGCGGUGAAAUGCGCAGAGAUAUGGAGGAACACCAGUGGCGAAGGCGACUUUCUGGUCUGUAACUGACGCUGAUGUGCGAAAGCGUGGGGAUCAAACAGGAUUAGAUACCCUGGUAGUCCACGCCGUAAACGAUGAGUGCUAAGUGUUAGGGGGUUUCCGCCCCUUAGUGCUGCAGCUAACGCAUUAAGCACUCCGCCUGGGGAGUACGACCGCAAGGUUGAAACUCAAAGGAAUUGACGGGGACCCGCACAAGCGGUGGAGCAUGUGGUUUAAUUCGAAGCAACGCGAAGAACCUUACCAAAUCUUGACAUCCUUUGACAACUCUAGAGAUAGAGCUUUCCCCUUCGGGGGACAAAGUGACAGGUGGUGCAUGGUUGUCGUCAGCUCGUGUCGUGAGAUGUUGGGUUAAGUCCCGCAACGAGCGCAACCCUUAAGCUUAGUUGCCAUCAUUAAGUUGGGCACUCUAAGUUGACUGCCGGUGACAAGCCGGAGGAAGGUGGGGAUGACGUCAAAUCAUCAUGCCCCUUAUGAUUUGGGCUACACACGUGCUACAAUGGACAAUACAAAGGGCAGCGAAACCGCGAGGUCAAGCAAAUCCCAUAAAGUUGUUCUCAGUUCGGAUUGUAGUCUGCAACUCGACUACAUGAAGCUGGAAUCGCUAGUAAUCGUAGAUCAGCAUGCUACGGUGAAUACGUUCCCGGGUCU